UGCGAUCAUACCAAAGACUAAUGCACCGGAUCCCAUCGGAACUGUUAAGCGUGCGUGGGCGAGAGUAGUACUAGGAUGGGUGACCUGAAGUCCUCGUGUUGCAC